rnacentral:rRNA from 1 species
GAUGAACGCUGGCGGCGUGCCUAAUACAUGCAAGUCGAGUGAACAGAUGAGGAGCUUGCUCCUCUGACGUUAGCGGCGGACGGGUGAGUAACACGUGGAUAACCUACCUAUAAGACUGGGAUAACUUCGGGAAACCGGAGCUAAUACCGGAUAAUAUAUUGAACCGCAUGGUUCAAUAGUGAAAGACGGUUUUGCUGUCACUUAUAGAUGGAUCCGCGCCGCAUUAGCUAGUUGGUAAGGUAACGGCUUACCAAGGCAACGAUGCGUAGCCGACCUGAGAGGGUGAUCGGCCACACUGGAACUGAGACACGGUCCAGACUCCUACGGGAGGCAGCAGUAGGGAAUCUUCCGCAAUGGGCGAAAGCUUGACGGAGCAACGCCGCGUGAGUGAUGAAGGUCUUCGGAUCGUAAAACUCUGUUAUUAGGGAAGAACAAAUGUGUAAGUAACUAUGCACGUCUUGACGGUACCUAAUCAGAAAGCCACGGCUAACUACGUG